GCAAGUCGGACGGGAGUCCGGAAGGUAGCAAUAUCGGCCGGUGAGAGUGGCGGAAGGGCGAGGAACACGUGGGCAACCUGGUCCUUGAGGUGGGGAAAACCGGCUGGAAACGGCGGCUAAUACCGGAAUGUGGCGCGGGAGGGCAUCCUUCCAGCGCUAAAGGGGGCGAAAGCUCCCCCUCUUCGAGGGGCUCGCGCACCAUCAGCUGUUGGCGGGGUAACGGCCCACCAAGGCUCACGGUUAGCUGGUCUGAGAGGAUGGCCAGCCGCACUGGGACUGAGAUACUGCCCAGACUCCUACGGGAGGCUGCAGUCGAGGAUCAUUCGCAAUGGGGGAAACCCUGACGAUGCGACGCUGCCGUGGAGGAUGAAGGCCCUCGGGUCGUAAACUCCUGUCAUGGGGGAAAAGGCGAGGGGACCCAACACGUCCCUUAGUUGAUGGUACCCCAAGAGGAACGGGCGGCUAACUCUGUGCCAGCCGCAGC
rnacentral:rRNA from 1 species